rnacentral:rRNA from 1 species
AUACGUAGGUGGCAAGCGUUGUCCGGAAUUAUUGGGCGUAAAGCGCGCGCAGGUGGUUCCUUAAGUCUGAUGUGAAAGCCCCCGGCUCAACCGGGGAGGGUCAUUGGAAACUGGGGAACUUGAGUGCAGAAGAGGAUAGUGGAAUUCCAAGUGUAGCGGUGAAAUGCGUAGAGAUUUGGAGGAACACCAGUGGCGAAGGCGAUUGUCUGGGCUGUAACUGAAAUUGAGGCGCGAAAGCGUGGGGAGCAAACAGGAUUAUAUACCCUGGUAGUCCACGCCGUAAACGAUGAGUGCUAAGUGUUGGGGGGUUUCCGCCCCUCAGUGCUGCAGCUAACGCAUUAAGCACUCCGCCUGGGGAGUACGGUCGCAAGACUGAAACUCAAAUGAAUUGACGGGG